ACAUGAUGCCCCUCCCUGCUCCACGCCGCUUCGGUCAUGUGACCGCCUGGGGAGUCAGGGGCGGAAGUCGGGGUCUGACCCGCUCCAGGUCCGGGACUGCGGAUAGAAGAGGACUGCCGCCGUGAGGGAGGAGUGGAAACUGAGUGCCGGCUCCGCGCGCGACCUCCGGCCCUGCGCGUGCGCCGCUGGCGCGGCCCGGCUGACAGGUUAAAAGACAGAGCUGAUCAACAGAAAUAUGGAGAUAUCAUAUUUGAUUUCAGCUAUUUUAAGGGUCCGGAAUUAUGGGAAAGCAAACUGGAUGCUAAGCCAGAGCUACAGGAUUUAGAUGAAGAAUUUCGUGAAAACAACAUAGAAAUUGUGACCAGAUUUUAUUUAGCAUUUCAAAGUGUGCAUAAAUAUAUUGUAGACUUAAACAGAUAUCUAGAUGAUCUCAAUGAAGGGGUUUAUAUUCAGCAAACCUUA
rnacentral:sRNA from 1 species